rnacentral:rRNA from 1 species
UACGUAGGGGCCUAGCGUUGUCCGGAUUUAUUGGGCGUAAAGAGCUCGUAGGCGGUUCGGCAAGUCGGAUGUGAAAUCUCCACGCUCAACGUGGAGGGGCCAUUCGAAACUGCCGUGACUCGAGUCCGGUAGGGAGUGGUGGAAUUCCGGUCGGUGAGCGGUGAAAAUGCGCAGAUAUCGGGGAGGAACACCCAGUAGCGAAGGCGGCACUCUGGGCCGGUACUGACGCUGAGGAGCGAAAGCGUGGGGAGCA